rnacentral:rRNA from 1 species
UACGUAGGGUGCUAGCGUUGUUCGGAAUCAUUGGGCGUAAAGCGCGUGUAGGCGGUUAGUUAAGUCGGGUGUGAAAUCCCUGGGCUCAACCGAGGAAGUGCAUCCGAAACUAAUUAGCUAGAGAGUGGUAGAGGAAGGUGGAAUUCCGUGUGUAGAGGUGAAAUUCGUAGAUAUACGGAGGAAUACCGGUGGCGAAGGCGGCCUUCUGGACCAUUUCUGACGCUGAGACGCGAAAGCGUGGGGAGCAAACAGG